ACGCUCGACACCUACGGGAGCAGCAGUGAGGGAUAUUGGUCAAUGGGGGGAACCCUGAACCAGCAACGCCGCGUGAGGGAUGACGGUCUUCGGAUUGUAAACCUCUGUCCUCUGUGAAGAUAAUGACGGUAGCAGAGGAGGAAGCUCCGGCUAACUACGUGCAGCAGCGCGGUAAUCUGAGCGGGCUGGCAAGGC
rnacentral:rRNA from 1 species